rnacentral:tRNA from 1 species
UCUAAUAUGGCAGAUUAGUGCAAUGGAAUUAAGCCCCAUUUAUAAAGCCAUAGCUUUUUUUAGAA